UACGGGGGGGGCAAGCGUUGUUCGGAAUUACUGGGCGUAAAGGGUUUGUAGGUGGCUUGCUAAGUCAGACGUGAAAUCCCUCGGCUUAACCGGGGAACUGCGUCUGAUACUGGAUGGCUUGAGGUUGGGAGAGGGAUGCGGAAUUCCAGGUGUAGCGGUGAAAUGCGUAGAUAUCUGGAGGAACACCGGUGGCGAAGGCGGCAUCCUGGACCAAUUCUGACACUGAGGAGCGAAAGCCAGGGGAGCAAACGGG
rnacentral:rRNA from 1 species